rnacentral:rRNA from 1 species
AGGAUCAUUAUCGAAACAGAACGCCCGGGGGGGAAAGGGGGAGCGCCGACGGCCCGAGACUGUCGCCGGCCUCGCGCGCGUGCACGUCCCUCGCCGUCGCUCUUUCCGACCCUUCGAGGCUUUCGACCUUCUCGACACCUGUGCACCCGCUGUAGGUCCUUCGGGACCUACGUCUUUCUUCGAACCCGCAUGUCUACAGAACGUAUUCGUCGCGUCCCGGCCUCGACCCUCAGGGUCCCGCGUCGGCGACCGCAAAACCUAUGAUACAACUUUCAGCAACGGAUCUCUUGGCUCUCGCAUCGAUGAAGAACGCAGCGAAUCGCGAUAAGUAAUGUGAAUUGCAGAUUUUCCGUGAAUCAUCGAAUCUUUGAACGCACCUUGCGCUCCUUGGUAUUCCGAGGAGCAUGCCUGUUUGAGUGUCAUCGAAACCUCAGACCGACCCUUCGACCCCGUCGGAGCUCGGUCUGGACUCGUGGGAGUCUGCGGGCGAAGCGUGACUUCGUCGGCUCUCCUCAAAAGCAUUAGCCGUGGGUGGCGAGCCUGGCAUGGCACGGCCUCCUCGACGUCGUAAUGAUCGUCGUGGGCUGGAAGUGUACGGCUCGACGGACCCAUGCUUCGCAAGUCUUGCGAGCCCGUCCCUCGCGGACGGCCGCGCCCCAUCGAAGCUUGACCUCAAAUCAGGUAGGACUACCCGCCGAACUUAAGCAUAUCAAUAAGCGGAGGAAAAGAAACUAACGAGGAUUCCCCUAGUAACUGCGAGUGAAGCGGGAAGAGCUCAAAUUUCGAAUCUGGCGGUCCUCGAUCGUCCGAGUUGUAAUCUAGAGAAGCGUCUUCCGCGCCGGACCGUGUACAAGUCUCCUGGAAGGGAGCAUCGUAGAGGGUGACAAUCCCGUCUCUGACACGGACCGCCGGCGCUAUGUGAUGCGCUCUCGACGAGUCGAGUUGUUUGGGAAUGCAGCUCAAAUCGGGUGGUAAACUCCAUCUAAAGCUAAAUACGGGCGAGAGACCGAUAGCGAACAAGUACCGUGAGGGAAAGAUGAAAAGAACUUUGGAAAGAGAGUUAAACAGUACGUGAAAUUGCUGGAAGGGAAACGCUUGACGUCAGUCGCGUCGUCCGGGGAUCAACCCUGCCUCUGGCUGGGCGUAUUUCCCGGUCGACGGGUCAGCAUCGAUUUCGAUCGUCGUAGAAGGACGGGAGCGAACGUGGCACUCCACGGAGUGUGUUAUAGCCUCCCGUAUGGAUGCGACGGUCGGGAUCGAGGAACUCGGCACGGCCCCUCGAGGGUUCGGGACUUCGGUCCACGCAG